rnacentral:rRNA from 1 species
GACGAACGCUGGCGGCGUGCCUAAUACAUGCAAGUUGAGCGCUGAAGGUUGGUCCUUGUACCAACUGGAUGAGCAGCGAACGGGUGAGUAACGCGUGGGGAAUCUGCCUUUGAGCGGGGGACAACAUUUGGAAACGAAUGCUAAUACCGCAUAAAAACUUUAAACACAAGUUUUAAGUUUGAAAGAUGCAAUUGAAUCACUCAAAGAUGAUCCCGCGUUGUAUUAGCUAGUUGGUGAGGUAAAGGCUCACCAAGGCGAUGAUACAUAGCCGACCUGAGAGGGUGAUCGGCCACAUUGGGACUGAGACACGGCCCAAACUCCUACGGGAGGCAGCAGUAGGGAAUCUUCGGCAAUGGACGAAAGUCUGACCGAGCAACGCCGCGUGAGUGAAGAAGGUUUUCGGAUCGUAAAACUCUGUUGGUAGAGAAGAACGUUGGUGAGAGUGGAAAGCUCAUCAAGUGACGGUAACUACCCAGAAAGGGACGGCUAACUACGUG